CGCUUUGUGCAAUGCCAGUAUCGUAGCCAGUGAGGCUUAUCUGAGGCUCAAUUAUUGCUAAUUGAACUACGUUACAUAAAACCAUUAAAUGGUACUAUUUUAAGUGAACUGGGGUGUUUGUUAAUUGUUAUUUGGGUGACUCCGGAAAACUAAAACUUAAUGACCUUAAUAA
rnacentral:snRNA from 1 species